GUUGUAUAGUCAAGUAAUUAAGUGCAUGUGGUGGAUGCCUUGGCAGUCAGAGGCGAUGAAAGACGUGAUAGCCUGCGAAAAGCUCCGGGGAGGCGGCAAAUAUCCUUUGAUCCGGAGAUGUCUGAAUGGGGGAACCCACCUACUUUAAGGUAGGUAUUGCAACAUGAAUACAUAGUGUUGCAAGGCGAACGAGGGGAAGUGAAACAUCUCAGUACCCUUAGGAAAAGAAAUCAAUUGAGAUUCCCUCAGUAGCGGCGAGCGAACGGGGAUCAGCCCAUUAAGUUAUGUGUGUUUUAGUGGAACGCUCUGGGAAGUGCGAACGUAGAGGGUGAUAUUCCCGUACACGAAAGGGCACACAUAAUGAUGACGAGUAGGGCGAGGCACGUGAAACCUUGUCUGAAUAUGGGGGGACCAUCCUCCAAGGCUAAAUACUCCUGACUGACCGAUAGUGAACCAGUACCGUGAGGGAAAGGCGAAAAGAACCCCUGUGAGGGGAGUGAAAUAGAUCCUGAAACCGCAUGCAUACAAGCAGUGGGAGCACCUUCGUGGUGUGACUGCGUACCUUUUGUAUAAUGGGUCAGCGACUUAUAUUCAGUAGCGAGGUUAACCGUAUAGGGGAGCCGUAGAGAAAUCGAGUCUUAAUAGGGCGUUUAGUUGCUGGGUAUAGACCCGAAACCAGGCGAUCUAUCCAUGAGCAGGUUGAAGGUUGGGUAACACUAACUGGAGGACCGAACCCACUGUCGUUGAAAAGCCAGGGGAUGACUUGUGGAUAGGGGUGAAAGGCUAAUCAAGCCUGGUGAUAGCUGGUUCUCCCCGAAAGCUAUUUAGGUAGCGCCUCGGACGAAUACCAUAGGGGGUAGAGCACUGUUUCGGCUAGGGGGUCAUCCCGACUUACCAAACCGAUGCAAACUCCGAAUACCUAUGAGUACUAUCCGGGAGACAGACUGCGGGUGCUAACGUCCGUAGUCAAGAGGAAAACAAUCCAGACCGCCAGCUAAGGCCCCAAAAUCAUAGUUAAGUGGGAAACGAUGUGGGAAGGCAUAGACAGCUAGGAGGUUGGCUUAGAAGCAGCCACCCUUUAAAGAAAGCGUAAUAGCUCACUAGUCGAGUCGGCCUGCGCGGAAGAUGUAACGGGGCUAAAACUAUGUGCCGAAGCUGCGGAUGUAUACUUUGUAUACGUGGUAGGGGAGCGUUCUGUAAGCCGAUGAAGGUGUGUUGAGAAGCAUGCUGGAGGUAUCAGAAGUGCGAAUGCUGACGUGAGUAACGACAAAACGGGUGAAAAACCCGUUCGCCGAAAGACCAAGGGUUCCAGUCCAACGUUAAUCGGGGCUGGGUGAGUCGACCCCUAAGGCGAGGCCGAAAGGCGUAGUCGAUGGGAAAAUGGUUAAUAUUCCAUUACUUCUGUGUAAUGCGAUGAGAGGACGGAGAAGGCUAAAUCAGCCUGGCGUUGGUUGUCCAGGUGAAAGGAUGUAGGCAUGUAUCUUAGGCAAAUCCGGGGUACUCUAUGCUGAGAUCUGAUAGCAAGCUGUACUUGUACAGCGAAGUGGUUGAUGCCAUGCUUCCAGGAAAAGUCUCUAAGCUUCAGUUACACAGGAAUCGUACCCGAAACCGACACAGGUGGUCAGGUCGAGUAGACCAAGGCGCUUGAGAGAACUCUGCUGAAGGAACUAGGCAAAAUGGUACCGUAACUUCGGGAGAAGGUACGCUGUUGUUGGUGAUGGAACUCGCUUCCUGAGCUGACGACAGCCGCAGAAACCAGGCCGCUGCAACUGUUUAUUAAAAACAUAGCACUCUGCAAACACGAAAGUGGACGUAUAGGGUGUGAUGCCUGCCCGGUGCUGGAAGGUUAAUUGAUGGGGUUAGCGUAAGCGAAGCUCUUGAUCGAAGCCCCAGUAAACGGCGGCCGUAACUAUAACGGUCCUAAGGUAGCGAAAUUCCUUGUCGGGUAAGUUCCGACCUGCACGAAUGGCAUAAUGAUGGCGGCGCUGUCUCCAGCAGAGGCUCAGUGAAAUCGAAAUCGCUGUGAAGAUGCAGUGUACCCGCGGCUAGACGGAAAGACCCCGUGAACCUUUACUGCAGCUUGACACUGAACUUUGACCUUACUUGUGUAGGAUAGGUGGGAGGCUUUGAAGCUGGAACGCUAGUUCCAGUGGAGCCGUCCUUGAAAUACCACCCUGGUAAUGUUGAGGUUCUAACUCUGUCCCGUGAUCCGGGACGAGGACCGUGUCUGGUGGGUAGUUUGACUGGGGCGGUCUCCUCCUAAAGAGUAACGGAGGAGUACGAAGGUGCGCUCAGCGUGGUCGGAAAUCACGCGUAGAGUAUAAAGGCAAAAGCGCGCUUAACUGCGAGACCCACAAGUCGAGCAGGUACGAAAGUAGGUCUUAGUGAUCCGGUGGUUCUGUAUGGAAGGGCCAUCGCUCAACGGAUAAAAGGUACUCUGGGGAUAACAGGCUGAUACCGCCCAAGAGUUCAUAUCGACGGCGGUGUUUGGCACCUCGAUGUCGGCUCAUCUCAUCCUGGGGCUGAAGCAGGUCCCAAGGGUAUGGCUGUUCGCCAUUUAAAGAGGUACGCGAGCUGGGUUUAGAACGUCGUGAGACAGUUCGGUCC
rnacentral:rRNA from 1 species